AGGACGAACGCUGGCGGCGUGCUUAACACAUGCAAGUCAAGGGGGCCCAGCAAUGGGCAACCGGCGAACGGGUGCGUAACACGUGAGCAACCUACCGAAAUGUGGGGGAUAGCCGGCCUAACGGCCGAGUAAUACCGCAUACGCUCUCGAUGAGCAUUUCAUUGAGAGGAAACCUACGGGACAUUUCGAGGGGCUCGCGGCCUAUCAGCUAGUUGGCGAGGUAACGCUCACCAGGCAACGACGGGUAGCGUGGUCGUGAGGAGGAUGGACCAGCCACAGUUGGGACUGGAGAGUACGGCCCCAGGCCUCCGUACGGGGACGCAGCGAGGUGGGAAUCGUGCG
rnacentral:rRNA from 1 species